AACGAACGCUGGCGGCAGGCCUAACACAUGCAAGUCGAGCGAGCAUUUCGGUGCUAGCGGCGGACGGGUGAGUAACGCGUGGGAACGUGCCCUUUUCUGCGGAAUAGUCCUGGGAAACUGGGGGUAAUACCGCAUACGCCCUUUUGGGGAAAGAUUUAUCGGAGAAGGAUCGGCCCGCGUUGGAUUAGGAAGUUGGUGGGGUAAUGGCCCACCAAGCCGACGAUCCAUAGCUGGUUUGAGAGGAUGAUCAGCCACACUGGGACUGAGACACGGCCCAGACUCCUACGGGAGGCAGCAGUGGGGAAUCUUAGACAAUGGGGGCAACCCUGAUCUAGCCAUGCCGCGUGAGUGAUGAAGGCCUUAGGGUUGUAAAGCUCUUUCAGCUGGGAAGAUAAUGACGGUACCAGCAGAAGAAGCCCCGGCUAACUCCGUG
rnacentral:rRNA from 1 species